GCAUUCACACAACACAAUACCCACACCUUGGCCAAUGGCCAGAAUAAAGGACUUCCUAUCAGUGGAACUCAGUCAUAUCAUUCAUUCACAGGCAACGGCAAGGUGUAACUGGAGCGGCUGUUGAGUUGAAUGGAGUUCAACCGACCCAAAGCUACAGGGGGAGGGCCUGGAGAUGGAGAGGGAGGACAAGUUGUCCUGAGCACGCUGGAUGAACUCCAGCCUGGGAGGAGUGAACGGAAGCUUGAAGAGCAUGGAGGGCUGGGAGGGCUGUCUUCAACCGACACCACUAACGCAGCCAAGACGGACCCCAGAGCCCCUGCAGGACGAUCUGGAAAGGUUGACUUGUACUCAUUCCACAGCUCCCCAUCUUCAGACAGCGAGGAGGAGGAGAAAGGCAAGAAGGAAAAGAAAAAGAAGAAGCUGAAGAAGAAGAGGAAGAAGAAGGAUUCCAGUUCAUCCUCUUCCUCCUCCUCCUCCUCCUCUGACAGCAGCUCUUCAGACAGUGAAGAUGAGAAUAAGAAGAAGAGGAAGAAGAAGAAGGCGAAGAAAGAAGGUUCUGGGGAUACUAUAGUACAUGAUGCAGCCUCCAUAUCUGAGCCUGGGCUUGAAUGCGUCACUGAUCUAAACGACGAGGAAACAAAGAAGAAAGAGGAUAACUCAGGCUCGGACAGUGAAAAGAAGAUGAAGAAGAAGAAGAAGAAGAAGAAGAAGAAGAAGAAGAAGGAUUCCAGCUCCUCUUCUUCAUCUUCCAGCUCAUCCUCCUCCUCAGACAGUGAGGAGGAGGAGAAGAAGAAGAAGAAGAAGAAGAAGAAGAAGAAAAAGGAUUCCAGCUCCUCAUCUUCAUCCUCUGAUAGCUCUUCAUCCUCCUCAUCCUCGGACAGUGACAAGAAGAAGAAGAAGAAGAAGAAGAAGAAGAAGAAAAAGGAUUCCAGCUCCUCAUCUUCAUCCUCUGAUAGCUCUUCAUCCUCCUCAUCCUCGGACAGUGACAAGAAGAAGAAGAAGAAAAAGAAGAAGAAGCAAAAGAAAAAGGAUUCUAGAGGUUCUUCUGACAGCAAGGGAGAAGAGGCAGACGGACAGGGCAAGGAUGAGUACAGCUGUGCUGCUGGCGUUUCAACAGCUGGUGAGGAGGGUGCUGGACUGGAGGGUACCCUGGGACAGAAAUUGGGCAAAGGGGAAAAAAAGAAAGACAAGAAGAAGAAGAAAGACAAGAGAAUGGACAAGGGCUCUGUGUCUGAGAGUGAUGACGAUGACAAGUGCAAGAAAGACAAAGCAAAGGAGGGUGGUGCAUCAGCUGAAUGGAUUUGUGGCAGAGAUUUUCCUGAAGGAAUGGAAGCUGGAAACCUGAGUGAUGAUGAGAGAGAAGGAGGCAAGGAGAAAGAGAAGAAGAAGAAGUUGAAGAAGAAGAAGAAGAAGAAGGACUCUGGCUGUUCAUCAUCCUCUUCAUCCUCGGAAAGCUCUUCCUCUUCAGACAGCGAGGAUGACAAAAAGAAGAAGAAGAAGAAGAAGAAGAAGAAGAAGAAAGCUGAGGAUUCCAGUUCUUCAUCUUCAUCUUCCUCGUCUUCAUCCUCCUCUUCCUCUUCAUCCUCUUCCUCUUCUGAUAGCGAGGAGGAAAAUAAGAAUAAGAAGAAGAAGAAGAAGAAAAAGGUGAGAAAGCGAUGUGUUGUGUGAUUUAACAUAAAAACAAGGUGAGAAAGCGAUGUGUUGUGUGAUUUAACAUAAAAACAAGGUGAGAAAGCGAUGUGUUGUGUGAUUUAACAUAAAAACAAGGUGAGAAAGCGAUGUGUUGUGUGAUUUAACAGAAAAACAAGGUGAGAAAGCGAUGUGUUGUGUGAUUUAACAUAAAAACAAGGUGAGAAAGCGAUGUGUUGUGUGAUUUAACAGAAAAACAAGGUGAGAAAGCGAUGUGUUGUGUGAUUUAACAGAAAAACAAGGUGAGAAAGCGAUGUGUUGUGUGAUUUAACAGAAAAACAAGGUGAGAAAGCGAUGUGUUGUGUGAUUUAACAGAAAAACAAGGUGAGAAAGCGAUGUGUUGUGUGAUUUAACAGAAAGCGAUGUGUUGUGUGAUUUAACAGAAAAACAAGGUGAGAAAGCGAUGUGUUGUGUGAUUUAACAGAAAAACAAGGUGAGAAAGCGAUGUGUUGUGUGAUUUAACAGAAAAACAAGGUGAGAAAGCGAUGUGUUGUGUGAUUUAACAGAAAAACAAGGUGAGAAAGCGAUGUGUUGUGUGAUUUAACAGAAAAACAAAGUGAGAAAGCGACGUGUUGUGUGAUUUAACAUAAAAACAAGGUGAGAAAGCGAUGUGUUGUGUGAUUUAACAUAAAAAGAAGCACAUUGUUUUUGUUGACUCACUGUUGACCCUGGUCAUUUCUGUAUCACAUUAAAACAGUGUAAAACCGUACUAUACCUAUGGCUAUCUAUAGCCCAAUGACAGACCCUGGAAAGUUGUUAAAUACUUCAUAGUGACCUU